UACGUAGGCAGCGAGCGUUGUUCGGAAUUACUGGGCGUAAAGAGUGUGUAGGCGGUGUUCCCAGUCUGUUGUGAAAUCUCCCGGCUUAACUGGGAGGGUGCAGCGGAAACUAGAAUGCUAGAGGGUGGGAGAGGUAAGCGGAAUUCCUGGUGUAGCGGUGAAAUGCGUAGAUAUCAGGAGGAACACCUGUGGUGUAGACAGCUUACUGGACCACUUCUGACGCUGAGACACGAAAGCGUGGGUAGCAAACAGG
rnacentral:rRNA from 3 species